GGCUCCGUAGUGAAGUUCAUGUUGAGUUGCAAGCUCAUCGAUGCGUGUAUGUACGCCGGGGCCU
rnacentral:tRNA from 1 species